AUGUACUGGUAUUGCAGCUGAUAAGUUAUGCAUCCUCCUAACCUACGAAGAUAUUUUGUCGAAUAAACUAGUAAUCUAUGAAUAAACUGAUAUGGUCUGUUGUCGUAGAUUUUCUUGAAAUGCUUUGUUUUGUUUCUGAAGUAACUGUCUUAAUUUGUUACAGAAACUUCCUACGAAAUUCUGCUCGAAAUACAGUAAUCUAUUACAUGAUGACAUGGAACUGAAAUUGCGUAAUGGCUAUAUUCUACCCGUUGAAAUUGAUUUAGUCAAUUGCCUUAUGAAGGGG
rnacentral:lncRNA from 1 species